UAUGAUAUUUAAAUAGCACCCAACCAUUACUAUAUCAAUUUUUGGCCUUGAAUUUUUGUACAUGACCUUAUAAGGAUAUAAUAAAAAAAAUUUGCUAAAAAAAAAAUUUUUAUUAGUUGAUUUAAAAAUGGUACUUUUGGCCGGCUAAAUCAGCGUUUGGUCCCACUGUGUGGCCUGGCUUGAACCCAAAUCCUGUCCGAUUUAUUGAUAGUCUAGACCGGGCCGGACCUGUAAUAAAAACAAUUGGAUCGGGUCUGGACGGGUAUAAAAUUAAUAUAAUUGGUCAGUUUUAAAAAAUAAUUCGUCUGGACUGGAACGGAAUGAGUAUAAAAAUCAAUCUAAAGGAACUUCAGAUUAAAGAAAAAUGUGUUUUUAGUAGCAUUCGAGCAGUUUUAACAAACAUCUUGGAAGGUCUUAUUCGAUUUCUCAUAUAUCUAAGCUAAUAUUUUUACAUAAAUUGCACAUAAUUAUUUUUAAUUCCAAAAUUCGAUUAUAGUCCCCAAGGACUUGGCAACUUUGCCAUUAUAUGUCACUCCAGAUUUCGUUUAUAUGAAGUGGGUAACAUUUACUAUAAUACAUAAAUUUCAAAUACAUUUCUAAUUAUUAAAUCAUAAUAAUUUAUUUAUAAUACAAUAAACUCCUAUCAAUUAUUUUAGUAACUGUAUAAUGCAAAUUUAAAUAAGAGAUUGGGAUUGAUAUUUUCAAGUAACUUUUAAAGCUUUUAUUAUUAUGGUAGUUUGAACUGAGGCCUUCUUAAUAAAAUUUGUAGCGUCCGCAAAUUAGUUAAAUUUUUUUGGAGGGGGGUAGAUAAAUCAAUGUAGUAAAGAAGAUUCCCGUCAGGUAUUUUUUCCAAAUUUAUGAAAUAGAAUAUGAAAUUAUAGCCUAUAAAGAAGAAUUAUUAAAGCUACAUCCAUUUAUAAUUAAUAAUGUAGAGGAAAUAAAUUAUUCUAUACAUUUAUAUUUAUAUAACAUGAAGGGACAAAACAUCUUAUUUAUAAACAUUAUACACAACAACAAUUAUUAUUGCAAAAAAACAAAGAAAUACAAAUCACUAAAUAAUAUAAUAAUAGGUCAAUAAUAACCAUUAAAAAUAAUCCAUUAUGAAUAAGUUGUACAUAAAAACAAAAAAAAAAAUUAAAUAAGUACAAAAAUUAAAAAUUUUAAUUAGAUCUAAGGGUUGACAAAAUAUUAUUUUUAAAACGAUCACGAGACGUAAAAAAAAAAUCGCAAUACAUACAAACUGAAUUUGCUACUUAGCUAAUUUGCUAGUGUAGAAAAAAGCUCUUGACAGAAAAGAAUUAGGAAAAUUAAAUAAAGAUUGAGAUCUAGUAUUAUGAACUGAGAUAAGAAAUUCAACUUUGAAUAGUAGUUCAGGGCAAUCAAUGUUAAAAUUUAUAAACAAACAUAUUGUCUGCUAAUGUACGACUGAUUUCACACGUAUCAAGACCAAUUGAGUAGUUUCAUUUAAAAAGCUAGUAUUUUUUUAAAUUUAUAUUGAACAUUCUCAAAUUUCGAAAUAUAGGUGGUGUUAUUAGGAGACCUAAUAAUAGAGAGAAACUCUAAGUGAAAACAAACCAAAGAGCGAUAUAAAAAUUGUAUGCAAUUAUUAUUUUUAAAUUGUACUAUUUUUCUAUUUAAAAAAACUACCAUUUUUAAAGCUUUAAUAAUAUAAAAAUUAAAUGUCAAAUUGAAACUAAAUAAACACCCAAGUUUCUAACUGAUGACACUUUUUUAGUUGAAUACUUGAAAUAUAAUUAUAAAUUAUUAAAGUAUUAUGACGAACAAAAGAUAUAAUAUGACAUUUAUCAAUGUUUAAAGGAAGAAAAUUGAGCAUACUCCAUUUAAUAAAUUGAUUUAAAUUAUUCUGUAAAACUUUACAAUCAUCAUAAGAGCGGAUUUUAUUAUAAAUUUUUGUACUAUCAGCAAAUAAUAAAAUCUUAGUAUCUUUAACAAAAACAGAAGCAAAUCAUUAACAAAAAUGAGAAACAAUAGCGGACCCUAAUUCGAACAUCUAAAAAAAGCAAUGAAUUAUUCAGAUAAUAUAUUUGAUAACUUAACUUGUUGCGUACGAUCAUGAUGAUAAGAUUCAAUCCACUUUAAAAAUAUACCAUAAACACCAUAGCAAUGUAAUUUUAUUAACAGUCUAUGAUCAACUUUAUCAAACACUUUUUUGAAGUCCGUGUAAAUGCAAUCUAUUUGUUGGCCCUCAUUAAUACCAUUUAAAAUAUCGAUUUGAAAUACAACAUUAUUUGUAACUGUUGAAUUUUUUAUUAUAAUAUAUAUAUAUAUAUAUAUAUAUAUAUAACAAAUAUAAAUAACUAUUAUAAAUUAACAAGAGUAACAAAUGAUUGAUGUACAUACACAUGAAAAUAAAAUGGAAUUUAUAAAAAAAAGGAUUUGUUAUUCAUCUCCAACAAGUCUAGAUACUUUUUUAGAUGAUGCUAAACAUAAUAAUUUUCGAGGUUUUUUGGUAUUUUUUGGUCAUGACAAAGCAGACAAUACUAUAAUAUUUUGCAUAAAUCAAGAUAAUCAAUCAAAAAAAUCUGAAUUAAUGGUCUAUUACAAAAAUACACGCAAUCAAGAAUUUUUUUUUGAAGAUUUUUUUUUAAUUGACACUACAAAUAUUUACCUAGAAAACAGCGAAUGUUAUGAUGUAUGUUCCUGGAAAAUGCCUAGCAUAAUUUUUCAAUGUUUGGUUCCUAUGCAAAGUUGGAGAAUAGCAUUUAAUGGUUGCCUUAAAUCAAAAAGUGAAGUUCAAAUUCAUAUGAAGAUAAACUUGAUGUGGAAGCCUUUUGGUUUUCCUGUUUACUGUGAUGUAUCUAAUGAUUUUUUUAAAAAAGAGGUUGAGUCGGAAUCAUUUGCGAUAGAAAAUUUAAUUGGAUUUGAUCAAUUUGGUGUACUUUCUGGUACUAUAGUUUAUGGUGACAAAAUGGAAAAUGUUAAUUUAACAGCACUAAAAAUAAGACGAUGGAAAAUGUCAAAACACGAUUCUAUAUUUGCCGGAAAAUUUAACGAUAAUAUAGCAAUAGUGCAAAAAUGCCAAAGAAUGAAUAUCUGUCGUGGUCAUUUAAAACUUCCAGAAGGCCACGAAUACGUGACCAAGUGCGACAUUAAGACAGUAAAAAAACAGCUUAGUGUUUCUUCAAUUGUAAUGCAACACAAUAAUUCAAACUAUAUAUUUAACUUAAAUUCAUCAAUAGAAUUUUUUUCGAAAAACAUAACAUUUAUGACUGGAUUUGAAAAUGGACAAAAAGGGAUAUUCUUUUAUUUCGAGAAUGAAAUUAAAUCUGAAGGAAUAAUGAUUAUGAAUAAUUAUAAACACGAUCAUUAUACAAACUCUAAAAGAUAUAUUGUCAAAUUAAAUUCUGAAUUGUGUUUAAAUUCUAAUGUGGUCGGCAAUAAAGCAAGAUCAUUGUCAUUGUUGAACUUCAAAAUAAAAGAAUGUUCAAUAAAAAAUGUAAGUGUACCAUCUGGUAUAUGUAUUAAAACCGAAGCUAUGUACGAUCAUAUUGAAGAGAACGAAAAUCUGAUCGAAAUUUUGCGGUUGGUAAUUAAGAAAGCAAAAGAAAAUAACAUCGAAGAACUUUUAGAACAUUGUGAAAAGUUAAAAGUAAAAUUGAUGUCGACGAGAUUAAGUGAACAAUUAACAAGAGAAAUUUUCAAAAAUAUUGUCGAGAAUCAAAUAUAUGCUGUACGGUCUUCUGGUACGCUUGAAGAUGGUGACAUCUCAUCUUCUGCUGGUCAAUAUUUAACUAAGCUUGGUUCUAUUGGUAUACAUAGUAUUUCGACAGAUAUUUUGGAAUGUUGGGCAUCUAACUUUUCUGCCCAGGCUCUAAUUUAUCGAAUAAAUAAUGGACAGCCCUUAUUUUGUGGCAUGGCGGUCAUUGUUCAAAAAUUAAUUGAUGCCGACGUAGCUGGUGUUUUAUUUACACGUGAUCCACAAACAGGCGAUCCUGAACGAAUUACCAUUAAUUUUUGUAAAGGGAUUGGAGAAUGUGUGGUGUCAGGUACUGUAACACCAGAAACCUUAAUCAUUUCUCGGGAAUCAUGUCAAACAAUUUCAGAAGAAAAUGAAUGUUACGAUAACGAAAAUGUGUAUAUAAGCGGUGAAAAAUUAAACGAAGAGUCUAUUAAUAAAAACUUAAUAACUUCAUUGUGUUUACUGUGUUUGGAAUUAGAAGAGAUAUUUGGUUCGUCAAUAGAUAUAGAAUGGGCAAUUAAAGAGGCAGAUAUUUUUCUUCUUCAGUUAAGACCAAUUACAUCUAUAUUUGCUUGGAGUGAUAAUGAAAUCUUACAUGAGUUUGAUUCUCCGUUUUCUUGUAAAGAUGUCUCUGUUUUCUACAACACCAAAGAUGUUUUCCCUGGAGCAUUACAUCCAUUGUCACUUACUUUAGAUUUUUUUUCGUUACUUCCAAGUCUAGGACUAGCUAAAAAUGACCCAACAGAUAUUUAUAAUGGAAAACAGCAGUUUAACAUUAAUUUUAACUGUUGUUUAAAUUUGUGUCAAUUAUUUCAAUACUUGGAAGUUGAUAGCAUUUUUUCCGAUAUCAUACAAUAUUCUAUAGCAGGAAAAUUAUUCGUAACAAAUGAAAUAUGGCAAAACAUUAAAUUGCGAAGAAAAUCUAAAUUAAGGAUAUUUCUCCAUUUCCUAUCGACAUUUCAGACGAUGUUUAAUGUAGAAUCAAAGGUUAAAAAUAUGCGUCGGAAAGUCGAUAAUAUAAAUAUAAAAAAAUUAACUACAACUUCUUAUUCAUCUAUUCAAUAUCUAAGUCAAAUAAAAGUUGUUUUAAAAACGUUUGAAGAAGCGGUACGUUGUCAUAUGGACACUAGCACAAACAAUGUGAUAUCUCAUACAUUAGUGCUGACUUUAGGAUUGAACACGACUAAAGAAUAUUCUCAAGAAUAUUUGACCAAAUUAGCGUCUUCAAUAAACAACUCUAAUGCAGUAUCAUUGUUAAUUCUCAAACACUUAAUGGAAAUAGCUAAUGCACUGUCUCAAGAAAUUGAAAAAACAGAAUUUUGUAAAUUGCCUUUACACGAUUGCCACAAUUGGAUAAAAUCAAAUUCUAAGAAAUGUCAUCGUCUUAUUGAAGAUUUUAUUGUAAAGUUUGGACAUCGUGGUGUUCAAGAGCUAGACGUGGGUUGUGAAACAUGGUCAACCGAUCAUAACAAAUUAUAUUCGUGUAUUCAAAAGUUAGUAUCUCAAGAUCAUUACCAACCUAAUAUUGAACCUAAAGCUAAUGAUUUUGAAAUAACCAGCUUUUAUCCAAACGGAGGAUUCUUGAAAAAGUAUUUUUUAAAUUAUUUAUUAACGCGAUAUAGAAAUAGCAUCACAUAUAGAGAACUUUCAAAAGACUUAUAUGUUUUAAUAACUCAUAAGCUACGAUUGUGUUACUUGAAGCUCGGACAAAUACUUGUUGAUGAAGGAAAAAUGAUUGAUCCAAAAUUGUUAUUUUUCAUGUCUCAAUAUGAGUUGGAAAAAAUUUGUCAUGAGAGAGACACUUUAAUUGUAUACAACACGGAAAUUAUAAAAACAAGUGUGAAAGGGUUACGCAGUUAGAAUACGUCGUUCGAUCUGGUACCUGCACUUAAGCACAAGAUACACUUAAAUUUUAGAAAACUAAAUACUUCCAAAAGACGUUUCAGUAGGUAAAUUUUAGACUCCAAACUUAAAUAACUUCAUAUUAUUUAUCAAGACAGUGAUUCCCAAUAUUUCCAAGUAUAAGAUGGAGAGAACAUCAUUAUUUCUAGGUCUAAUCUAGUUAUGUUGUCCGUUUUUUAUUUGAAGCUAAUAGUCACCUUCCAGAACCUAUUCAUCUAGCUGUAUCGUACUAUAGAAAAAGAUAAAAGGGCUAAAGAUUCACUAGGAUCGUGGUUAUAAAGAUACGAUAAAUCCAUUGAAAUCUAUGUUUCAGAGAUCAUCGAGAAACUGGCAAAAUAACUAUGAAAAACGAUUUAACGUUGUAGAGAAUUAUUACCGUCAUUUAUUCGAAAAUAAUAAUAAUAAUAAUAAUAUUGGAUACGAACGAAUACUGCCACAACUUGUAAGACUUUCAAAUUAGUGUAAAUGCCAUAGAGUUAGCAAUUAAGAAAAUGUCAAUAGAUACAUUUCCAGGCCCAGAUGAAGUUGUACUUUAGACUAUUUGCUAAGUUAAAUGUGCGGCCGUAAUUCUAGUUAUUUCAAAAGAGUAUUCGCGUGGAGCUAUGUUCUUUUUAAACUUUAAACAGGGAGAACUAUAUUACUAUACAAUGAAAAGUAUUCAGAAGCAGAUAUUCAAAAUUAGAGACCAAUAACUAUGUAUAGUGUGAUAGGUCGAGUAAUUGGACGGUGUCUUCACCAAGCAGUUAGAAAGAGAAUUGAAUUGAAAUAGUCACAAUCUUCAUAUAAAUAAAAUACAAGAGCACUCAUGAGGAAAAAAAUGUGGCCAAAAUUGUCACACUAUCAGUUUGAAGAUGUCAAUAUUGGAUUUCCUAUUUACAAACUUCCUAAUUCUAUUCAUUAUUUAGAUUCAAACUCUACACGCUUCUCAGGAUGU